CCUACGGGAGACAGCAGUAGGGAAUCUUCCACCAUGGGCGAAAGCCUGAUGGAGCAACGCCGCGUGGGUGAAGAAGGUCUUCGGAUCGUAAAACCCUGUUGUUAGAGAAGAAAGUGCGUGAGAGUAACUGUUCACGUUUCGACGGUAUCUAACCAGAAAGCCACGGCUAACUAACUGCCAGCAGCCGCGGUAAUACGUAGGUGGCAAGGGUUAGCCGGAUUUUUUGGGCGUAAAGGGAACGCAGGCGGUCUUUUAAGUCUGAUGUGAAAGCCUUCGGCUUAACCGGAGUAGUGCAUUGGAAACUGGGAGACUUGAGUGCAGAAGAGGAGAGUGGAACUCCAUGUGUAGCGGUGAAAUGCGUAGAUAUAUGGAAGAACACCAGUGGCGAAAGCGGCUCUCUGGUCUGUAACUGACGCUGAGGUUCGAAAGCGUGGGUAGCAAACAGGAUUAGAUACCCCGGUAGUC
rnacentral:rRNA from 1 species